rnacentral:rRNA from 1 species
GAUGAACGCUGGCGGCGUGCUUAAUACAUGCAAGUCGAACGGAAAGACGCUGAGCUUGCUUUUUUGACGUUAGCGGAGGACGGGUGAGUAACGCGUGGAUCCCCUACCUAUCAGACUGGGAUCACCACGGGAAAGCGGCGCUAAUCCCGGAUAAUAUUUUGAACCGCAUGGUUCAAAAGUGAAAGACGGCUUUGGUGUCACUUAUAGAUGCAUCCGGGCUGCAUUAGCUAGUUGGUAAGGUAAAGGCCUACCACGGCAACGAUGCAUAGCCGAGGUGACAGGGUGAUAGGCCACACUGGAACUUGGACGGGGUCCAGACGCCUACGGGAGGCAGCAGAAGGGAAUCGUCCGCAAUGGGCGAAAGCCUUACGGAGCAACGCGACGUGAGUGACGAAGGUCUUCGGAUCGGAAAACUCUGUUAUUAGGGAAGAACAGAUGUGUAAGUAAAUGUGCAGAUCGUGACGGUAACUAGUCAGAAAGCCACGGCUAACUACGUG